AAGGAGUCUAACAUGCCUGCGAGUAUUAGGGUGGAAAACCCUUGUGCGUAAUGAAAGUGAAAGUUGGGACCUCUUGCGAGGGCACCGACGCCCGGCCCUGAAGUUUACUGACGGCGCUGCGGUAGAGCAUGUAUGUUGGGACCCGAAAGAUGGUGAACUAUGCCUGAAUAGGGUGAAGCCAGGGGAAACUCUGGUGGAGGCUCGUAGCGAUUCUGACGUGCAAAUCGAUCGUCAAAUUUGGGUAUAGGGGCGAAAGACUAAUCGAACCAUCUAGUAGCUGGUUCCUGC
rnacentral:misc_RNA from 1 species